ensembl:lncRNA
CUGGUAUAUAAUCCUUUUGAGACUUGACCUUUCUUGAGGAUAGAGCCAGGAGUGUCUGCCUGGCCUGUGAACGAUGCUGGGAGGAUCUCAGAGGAGGAGGCAAAUGCAUGUGUUAAACUGGAUUCCUGGGGCUCUGCUGUGCAUCUGAAGUUGGGUAUUCCAUGUCUGGGAUAUCUCUCCCCAACACAGGAGACAUGGAAAUGCAAACCCUCCAAGGACUGCGAAUUUCAUGCCAGCAGCUGACCCUUCGCCAGCCGCCUAGGGUGGGAGAGAUGAAGGGUCCUCUGUGUGUUUCAAGGGAUGAGACAAGAUACACCGGUGGGGCCAGAAGUUCCCUCAGAGGACUAGGAGGUUUGGCCAGCUUUGCCCACACUGAGGGACCAGAGGGUCAUUCUUCCUGGUGCUUCUGUGCUUCUUCAGAGGAGUCCAGGUGGUUCCUAGAAUGGUGAUGCCAAGUACAGGAAGUAGAAGAGAGUCCAAAGCUGCUUUGGGAAGCCUUCCUUUAACUCAUGCUAUGAGAAGUUGGGUGGCCUAGGUUCAGAACCAGGGUGCGUCUCUAAUGCUGUGCAAACUCGGGUGAAUCCUCUCUGGAAUUCACAGAUUCAAGCAAGGACCUGUCACAUAAGAAAUGCUCGAAGUAACUAAGCUGAAGCUGAUGUUUACCGUCCCGGGCAUGUGUCAUCUUCUAUUUAUGCAUGCAAAACCUGCAAGUCUAUUGUUACAUAUAUUUCAAAAGUUUAUAUAAAUGGUAUAAUACUGUACACAUUUCUUUGCCAUUUAUUUUUUCAUUCCAUAUUUAUGUUCUGGAGAUUUACCAUAUUGGGAACAUGUUGAUCUAGUUUGUUCAUUUUAACUGUGAUAGAUGAUUUCAUUGUGUUUAUAAAGCAGCUUAUUUUCCUGUUCUCUUGCUGAGAGGCAGUUAGACUGCUCCUCACUUUUCUAUCACAUACUAAGAUGUGGUGAAUAUCCUUGACCACAUAUCCUUUUGCACAUGAAUAUGAGUUUCUCCAGGGCUUCCCAAGUGGUGCUAGUGGUAAAGAACCCACCUGCCAAUGGAAGAGACAUAGAUUCAGGUUCGACCCCUGGGUUGGGAAGAUCCCCUGGAGGAGGGCAUGGCAACCCACUCCAGUAUUCUUGUCUGGAGGAUCCCAUGGACAGAAGAGCCACAGUCCAUAGGGUCGCAAAGAGUCAGACACAACUGAAGUGACUUGGCAUGCACACACACCUGAGUUUCUCUAGGAUGCAUGGAAAACACUCUGGGUUCUGCACCCAGAUUCUAUGACCUGCAGGUGCAACUCAUCCCCCAGCUGCUGUGAGUGCUGGCUGCUAGGGAUUCACAGCUGCUCACAGCUUCUUGGGAACUUCUUUAUUCAGGAAGUUAUAAGUUACCCACCACCUUGCCCCCUACAUUGGGCAGCCCACAGUCAAUGACUGAUGGAUACAGCCAAUGACUGAUGGAUAAGUCUUAUCCGUCAAUGACUGAUGGAUAAGCCAAUGACUGGUGCAAAAGCCUGGCCUCUUUGCCUCAAGGCAGAUUCACUCUGCAACGUUACUAAUGCUUCAGAGCUCCCCAUGGGGUCAGAUUGAAGAUAAUCUCCAGCUGAGAACCUACCAUCACUUAACAUUUCUUCCUAUCCUAUCUGCCUGACCCUCUCUCUCCACCUGAGAGUCCUCCCUCUAGAAACCACCUGCACAAGGAUCUCGGGCACUGCUUAGGGGACCUAACUUCAGACAGGCAC